ACGCACGCUGGCGGCAGGCCUAACACAUGCAAGUCGCGCGAGGACUUCGGUUCUAGCGGCGGACGGGUGAGUAACGCGUGGGAAUGUGCCCUUCUCUACGGAAUAGCCCUGGGAAACUGGGAGUAAUACCGUAUACGCCCUAUUGGGGAAAGAUUUAUCGGAGAAGGAUCGGCCCGCGUUGGAUUAGGUAGUUGGUGGGGUAAUGGCCUACCAAGCCGACGAUCCAUAGCUGGUUUGAGAGGAUGAUCAGCCACACUGGGACUGAGACACGGCCCAGACUCCUACGGGAGGCAGCAGUGGGGAAUCUUAGACAAUGGGGGCAACCCUGAUCUAGCCAUGCCGCGUGAGUGAUGAAGGCCUUAGGGUUGUAAAGCUCUUUCAGCUGGGAAGAUAAUGACGGUACCAGCAGAAGAAGCCCCGGCUAACUCCGU
rnacentral:rRNA from 1 species